UUGAAAGGGAAACGAUUGAAGUCAGUCGUACCUUUGGGUAAUCAGCCUUUUGGGUGUGAUUUUGUGGAGUGUGGGGAGUUAAACGCCUUCAUGCCUGCAUAUUCGUGCACUUUGGGUGUAUUUGCCCGUGUGGUAAGUUAACAUCAAUUUUGGUGGUCAUAAAAUGGCUGGAGGAAUGUAGCUUCGAUCUCGUAUUGAAGUGUUAUAGCCUUCGGUAGGUGUGAUUAUCGGGAUUGAGGAUUGCAACGGAUACCCUUCGGGGCUACCUGUCUGAUCUCUGAUCGUUGCUCUGGUGCCGAAAGCUUGCUUACGGUUAUCAAAGUCGAUGGUCAAUAGGUUAGAACGGGUUAAAUUCGUUAAGGAUGUUGACGUA
rnacentral:rRNA from 1 species